AGUGAACGCUGGCGGUAGGCCUAACACAUGCAAGUCGAACGGCAGCACAGUAAGAGCUUGCUCUUACGGGUGGCGAGUGGCGGACGGGUGAGGAAUACAUCGGAAUCUACUUUUUCGUGGGGGAUAACGUAGGGAAACUUACGCUAAUACCGCAUACGCCCUACGGGUGAAAGCAGGGGAUCUUCGGACCUUGCGCGAUUGAAUGAGCCGAUGUCGGAUUAGCUAGUUGGCGGGGUAAAGGCCCACCAAGGCGACGAUCAGUAGCUGGUCUGAGAGGAUGAUCAGCCACACUGGAACUGAGACACGGUCCAGACUCCUACGGGAGGCAGCAGUGGGGAAUAUUGGACAAUGGGCGCAAGCCUGAUCCAGCCAUACCGCGUGGGUGAAGAAGGCCUUCGGGUUGUAAAGCCCUUUUGUUGGGAAAGAAAAGCAGCAGGUUAAUACCCCGCUGUUCUGACGGUACCCAAAGAAUAAGCACCGGCUAACUUCGUG
rnacentral:rRNA from 1 species